rnacentral:rRNA from 1 species
AUGGACGAAAGUCUGAUGGAGCAACGCCGCGUGAGUGAUGAAGGUUUUCGGAUCGUAAAACUCUGUUGUAAGGGAAGAACAAGUGCGUUAGGUAAUGAACGCACCUUGACGGUACCUUAUUAGAAAGCCACGGCUAACUACGUGCCAGCAGCCGCGGUAAUACGUAGGUGGCAAGCGUUGUCCGGAUUUAUUGGGCGUAAAGCGCGCGCAGGUGGUUUCUUAAGUCUGAUGUGAAAGCCCACGGCUCAACCGUGGAGGGUCAUUGGAAACUGGGGAACUUGAGUGCAGAAGAGGAUAGUGGAAUUCCAAGUGUAGCGGUGAAAUGCGUAGAGAUUUGGAGGAACACCAGUGGCGAAGGCGACUGUCUGGUCUGUAACUGACACUGAGGCGCGAAAGCGUGGGGAGCAAACAGGAUUAGAUACCCUGGUAGUCCACGCCGUAAACGAUGAGUGCUAAGUGUNAGGGGGUUUCCGCCCCUUAGUGCUGCAGCUANCGCAUGAAGCACUCCGCCUGGGGAGUACGACCGC